rnacentral:rRNA from 1 species
GACGAACGCUGGCGGCGUGCUUAACACAUGCAAGUCGAACGGAAAGGCCCUGCUUUUGUGGGGUGCUCGAGUGGCGAACGGGUGAGUAACACGUGAGUAACCUGCCCUUGACUUUGGGAUAACUUCAGGAAACUGGGGCUAAUACCGGAUAGGAGCUCCUGCUGCAUGGUGGGGGUUGGAAAGUUUCGGCGGUUGGGGAUGGACUCGCGGCUUAUCAGCUUGUUGGUGGGGUAGUGGCUUACCAAGGCUUUGACGGGUAGCCGGCCUGAGAGGGUGACCGGCCACAUUGGGACUGAGAUACGGCCCAGACUCCUACGGGAGGCAGCAGUGGGGAAUAUUGCACAAUGGGCGGAAGCCUGAUGCAGCAACGCCGCGUGCGGGAUGACGGCCUUCGGGUUGUAAACCGCUUUCGCCUGUGACGAAGCGUGAGUGACGGUAAUGGGUAAAGAAGCACCGGCUAACUACGUGCCAGCAGCCGCGGUGAUACGUAGGGUGCGAGCGUUGUCCGGAUUUAUUGGGCGUAAAGGGCUCGUAGGUGGUUGAUCGCGUCGGAAGUGUAAUCUUGGGGCUUAACCCUGAGCGUGCUUUCGAUACGGGUUGACUUGAGGAAGGUAGGGGAGAAUGGAAUUCCUGGUGGAGCGGUGGAAUGCGCAGAUAUCAGGAGGAACACCAGUGGCGAAGGCGGUUCUCUGGGCCUUUCCUGACGCUGAGGAGCGAAAGCGUGGGGAGCGAACAGGCUUAGAUACCCUGGUAGUCCACGCUGUAAACGGUGGGUACUAGGUGUGGGGUCCAUUCCACGGGUUCCGUGCCGUAGCUAACGCUUUAAGUACCCCGCCUGGGGAGUACGGCCGCAAGGCUAAAACUCAAAGGAAUUGACGGGGCCCCGCACAAGCGGCGGAGCAUGCGGAUUAAUUCGAUGCAACGCGUAGAACCUUACCUGGGUUUGACAUGGAUUGGGAGUGCUCAGAGAUGGGUGUGCCUCUUUUGGGGUCGGUUCACAGGUGGUGCAUGCCUGUCGUCAGCUCGUGUCGUGAGAUGUUGGGUUAAGUCCCGCAACGAGCGCAACCCUUGUUCACUGUUGCCAGCACGUUAUGGUGGGGACUCAGUGGAGACCGCCGGGGUCAACUCGGAGGAAGGUGGGGAUGACGUCAAGUCCCCAUGCCCCUUAUGUCCAGGGCUUCACGCAUGCUACAAUGGCUGGUACAGAGAGUGGCGAGCCUGUGAGGGUGAGCGAAUCUCGGAAAGCCGGUCUCAGUUCGGAUUGGGGUCUGCAACUCGACCUCAUGAAGUCGGAGUCGCUAGUAAUCGCAGAUCAGCAACGCUGCGGUGAAUACGUUCCCGGG